GGUCUUAUAUUCAUUAAAUGAUAUUAGAAUGCAAUUCUGAAGGGUAUAUAUAAAAUAUUAAGACUU
rnacentral:tRNA from 1 species